ACCAACAACACAGCAACAAAAUUUUACCUCUUCUCAAAAUUUGAGCCCCUCUCUUUCUCCUCGUUAUCAUGAUUUCUCCUCAUUUUGGCUUCUUUUUCAAGUGAUAAAAAACAACUUUGACUGACAAACUUCAAAAUCCAAGGGAUUGGGACACAAACAACUUCUUACUUGUGGAUUCCAACAUUUGGACCAUUAAUAAUCAUUACAAACAAACCGACUCAAGCCAUAUUUAAUCUCCCACUAUACCGCAAUGAAAUACACAAAAUAGGUAAGUCUUCUACUUCUUGUCCUCCUGACUAUAUAAUCCCAGGGACACAAACAACUUCUUACUUGUGGAUUCCAACAUUUGGACCAUUAAUAAUCAUUACAAACAAACCGACUCAAGCCAUAUUUAAUCUCCCACUAUACCGCAAUGAAAUACACAAAAUAGGUAACUCUUCUACUUCUUGUCCUCCUGACUAUACAAUCCCAAAACCAAAAAACAAAACCCUAGCUAGCAUUGGACAAACAUAAUGCUAGAAGAAGUGGAAAAACAUGACAAAAAAGGAGGACCGAGAGAAAGGACUUGUUUAGCAUACAACAAACUGUUCCAAGGAAAGGCUUGGUAUCUAA
rnacentral:lncRNA from 1 species